UAUCUAAACACAAAGGAAUCAGCUGAGGUGAGUCAUUUAUAAAUUUUGUACCUAGCCUUUUAUUGAUUGAACCAAAUGAAUUGAAGUUAUUUUAUGACUUACCUUUGUUUUAAGAUUUCAUUACCAUUCAGUCAUUCACUUACCAUUUUAAUAAUUGUUUUCCAAUGUAUUUGCAGGUUUACUUUGAAUCUAGGAAAAUUUUGUGUCCAUUAAUAAACACAAAGGAAUUAGCUGAGGUUCACUUUGGAUUCAGGAAAUUGGAUGUCUGUAAACACAGAGAAAUCAGCUGAGGUGAAAUCAUUCAUGAAAAUACUUAUUAUUUUAUGUUUUAUACCCAGUGUUUUACUGAUUGAAUUGAACUAAUUGUAGUUUUAUUUUGAAUUGAACUAAUUGUAGUUUUAUUUUGAGAGAUUUUAUUUCCCCUCAUUCAUUUUAUUGUAAUGCAUUUAUUGCUUUUUGUUGUAGAUUCACUUCUGAUUCAGGAAAUUUAGAUAUCAAUGCUAAGUGGUAUGCUGUAAAUUACGCAACAGGUGGUGUUUUUUGAGAUUUUAUUUCUCCUCGUUCAUUUUAUUGUAAUGCAUAUUUUAUUGCUUUUUGUUGCAGAUUCACUUCUGAUUCAGGAAAUUUAGAUAUCGAUGCCAAGUGAAAUGCUGUAAAUUACACAACAGCUGUAUUGUGAAGAGGAAUAAUCAAUCAGUAAGUUUAGGUAACUGCCCUAUUAACAAUUUUGCUGGAACAGUAUGCUAGCAUCACUUGAAACUUUUUUUCCACUUCUGCUAGCACACAUAUUCUCACAUUUUACUUGCAUCAGUCUGCUACCUUCACUCUGAUGUGACAGUGCAUAAUAACAUACCACUGUUACAAAGGUCUUGUCAAAAUGAAGCACAGCAGGCAGACAAUGUGAGUAACAUGCAAGAAGAUGUAAGCUGGCAUAGCGUGUUAGCGAUGGUGGAAGAAGGUUCCCAAGAAUUUGUCAAUCUUUUAGUUUAAUGUAGGCUGCUACUUCCAUGCGAAAUUCUCCCACUGUUUAUGCGCAAAUGCAUUUGUUUCCACUCUUUCCAGUAUCAAAUCAACAGGGUUUGCAACAAAAACUGUGGAGAAUUCAACGUUUGAGUAGCAGUCUAUAUUGAACUAAAAGGUCAAUGUCUGUGCUGGCAUUGCUAGGAAAAUUUUAAAUAGGGUAAAGUUAGUGGCCCCUAAAUGGGGGCAGGAUCCGUCUCCUGCUCCAACUCCUAGUCGCACGUCCACGUCGUGGGGGCUGGGACCUCGCCAAACUUCAAAAGUUGGAGUUUGGCGUGCUAACGCGACAGGGGGGUGUGGUUGGCACGCUUUUUUUUGGUACUUUCUGAAUGAAAAUUAUCUUUCUGGAUCUGGUGAUGGUACAAAAUUCCAACUUUUGUGGCUCUAAAUUCAUCGCGAGUUAGAUGUCUGUGUGCAGUGUCAUCUUACGCUCUUCUGGGGAAGAUGACAACGUAUCUCAAAUGUCAGCAAUGUGAAUUAAGUUGCAAGGCAGCAGUUCUUGCUGUUUUGCCGCUUUAUUCACCUUGUUUGAUGAGGGAAAAAGUCUUUGUUAGUUAGGAUGUUUCCACAAGAUGGUGUUUACUAAUGUAGAUGAAUUACCAUUUACAUUGAGAUGCUUCUUGUGAUAAGGUUUCUUGGCAGACUUGAUGCUGAACACUGAGGAUGUCGGUCCCCAUACCUGCCUCGGGUUUCAGCAUUUCGAACUGUCAGGUUAUCAGGCACCCCUGGCACAAAAGUCUGCUUAGUUUAUCUUUUUUGUGCUGCCAUCUUUUGGAGCCAGGCAGGCCUGCACAAGAGGUUUUAAUGCCUGGCUCUGGAGAUGGUGGAAGGGGUGAAAAUGGUUCCUACCGGAUGCUCUUUUUAGUAUCAGAAAAAUUUCAUGAAAAAUUCAGAACAACAUUUGGGCUGAGUUCUGAAGGAUUUUUUUUUUCAAUGAGCUCUGAAGGAUUUUUGAAGGAUCUCUAGGUUCUGAAGGAUCGUUGGUAGGAUCACGGGCUGAGUUCUGAAGGAUUUUUAAAUGAGUUCUGAAGGAUUUUUUUGUAGGAUCUCUAGGUUCUGAAGGAUCUUUGGUAGGAUCACAAGGUUUUGAAGGAUAUUUGGGUUCUGAAGGAUUUUUGAAUCUACAAUUUUUGAAGGAUCUCAAAGUUCUGAAGAAUUUUGAAGAAUUUUUUGAAAAUGAUCUUUGUACAAAUGAUUCUACAGGUUUUUGAAUUAGUCAUGUGUUCAAUUUUUGAACAAGCUGGACUCUUCAACACUGAAGAUGGCGGAGACUAAUUGGUCUUCAAAUUCCACCAACUUGAGUGAAUGACAUGAAUGUGCAUUGCCAUUACCGAAGUUGGAAGACAAGUCCAACUAGUUCUCAAUACUGAACAAUACUGACUUUUCCUCAUGUGAUGGUACACAUCACAUUGAACUAUCAUCAUGCUCAUUGUUCAUUGAAGUAUAUAACAUAUGCAAAUUUGCUUAUGCAAUACUCAAUGCUGGAGGACAAGUCCAAAACAAGUCCUGCAGAUUUGUAAUGUAAGUGAGCGACUUAGCCUUAUGUAAUUAAACACUAGGCAAUCAGUCAAGCUCUGGUUAAGGUUGGAUGUCGCCACAUGUGCACAAUUUGACAACUCAUACAGACUAACCAAUACAACCGAUCACCUACUCAGAACUCUAACUGCGCUGUGGACUUACUGGCCUGAGUGAUCAACAGAUCGUGGCGAUGAUCAGCAUAAAGGAAGUCUGCACAAGAAGCCGUAGCAGGGGCUAGUCCUCCUUGGCCCCUACCGGCACGGCGUGCGCCUGGGUGAAAGUCAGAAUACUUUAUUCUCCUCCCGAUCAGUUUCACCUUUCCCGCAAGCGGGCUACGCAGGGCACCUGAAUUAACGAGUGACGGAGCGUCCAGCUUCUGACCUACACCCUCGCUGCGCCGAGCUUUCGGAAACCAAGGUUUCCGCUAAGCGGAGGUCACAUAAAGAAGCCGCGCAAAAUCUCGCGUUUUCACGUUUUUGCACAGACACCUGGUAGUUUCGCGGUUCGAGAAACUAACCAGUGAGGCAGGUAUGGUGAUCACAUCCUCAAAGAUCAGAGUCCAGUCCGCGAAUCAAACCUAUCGCUGGCACCUCGAAAAAUGGCGAACCAUUUUGACGAAAAUGCUAGCGAGAUGAACCUAUAAAUUGCGAAGAGCCUUGUCUUACAAUUAAAAGAGGUCAUCAAACAAUAGCAGAAUCAUUGCUCGAUGACUACUUGAAUUGUAGAGACAGAUCGAAGCAUUGCCAUCCCAUACACAGGAAUGUAUGAGGUGACAUUACUCCCUAGACACCUAAAUUGAAAGAAAAAAAAUUUGAAACCCAAAUAGUCUAAAUAAAAUUUUGAUACCUUCCCUUUAAGACCCAAACAUUAGAAUUUUUAUUGCUAUACAAUGAAAGAAAAAAAAAUUGAAACUCCAGAAGUCUAAAUACAAUUUUGAUACCCCCCUGAGACCCAAACAAUACUCGCAUUAGGUAUUAUGAUAUUUAUCUUUAUCUACUUAUUGAAUGUUAUCGUAAAAUAAUUGUUUAUUCAAAUGAAAGUUCCAUUAAAUUUGAAUGUAUGAAAAUUUGUUAUUGAAUAUUAUUGUGAAACAACCAUGUAUUUUUAAAUAAAAUUGAUGAAAAUUUGUUUUUGAA